rnacentral:rRNA from 1 species
UAGGGAAUCUUCCACAAUGGGCGAAAGCCUGAUGGAGCAACGCCGCGUGUGUGAUGAAGGGUUUCGGCUCGUAAAACACUGUUGUAAGAGAAGAAUGACAUUGAGAGUAACUGUUCAAUGUGUGACGGUAUCUUACCAGAAAGGAACGGCUAAAUACGUGCCAU